UACGAAGGGGGCUAGCGUUGUUCGGAAUUACUGGGCGUAAAGCGCACGUAGGCGGACAUUUAAGUCAGGGGUGAAAUCCCAGAGCUCAACUCUGGAACUGCCUUUGAUACUGGGUGUCUUGAGUAUGGAAGAGGUGAGUGGAAUUCCGAGUGUAGAGGUGAAAUUCGUAGAUAUUCGGAAGAACACCAGUGGCGAAGGCGACUCACUGGCCCGUUACUGACGCUGAGGCGCGAAAGCGUGGGGAGCAAACAGG
rnacentral:rRNA from 1 species